UACGAAGGGGGCUAGCGUUGCUCGGAAUCACUGGGCGUAAAGCGCACGUAGGCGGGUCCUUAAGUCAGGGGUGAAAUCCCGGAGCUCAACUCCGGAACUGCCUUUGAUACUGGGGAUCUUGAGUCCGGAAGAGGUGAGUGGAACUCCGAGUGUAGAGGUGAAAUUCGUAGAUAUUCGGAAGAACACCAGUGGCGAAGGCGGCUCACUGGCCCGGUACUGACGCUGAGGUGCGAAAGCGUGGGGAGCAAACAGG
rnacentral:rRNA from 1 species